rnacentral:tRNA from 1 species
GCCCGGUUGGUGGAACUGGUACACACGCGGCUCUCAAACAGCCGUGCCUUCGGGCUUGUGGGUUCGAAUCCCACACCGGGCA